rnacentral:pre_miRNA from 1 species
UUCUCUGGGGUUGUUAACAGCCAGGCUUAGCCUAAGUCCAGCUAAAAGCUGGACUUUAGACAGGAGCCUGGCUGGAAAAAACCCUUCUGUACUG